GGAUUCCUUAAGUAAUUGCGAAUGAACAAGGAAAUGCUCAGCUUGAAAAAUGGGGCCUUUGGCUUUGAAUUGUAAUUUUGAAAUGUAUUGCCAAUGGAGGCGCAGGUGCAAGCCUAUUGAAAGAAAGCGUCAAUGAGGGUGAGAUUCCUUUUUGUCAUUUGCAGUCCUCCGUGCACGGUAUAUAUUUGACGAGUCACACUCCUCGGCAUUGGAAUGCAAAGUGGGUGGUAAAUUCCAUGUAAAGGUAAAUAUAUUAUUGAGACUGAUAGCAAACAAGUACCAUGAGGGAAAUAUGAAAAGGACUUUGAAAAGAGAAUUAAAAGAGUCUGCAUUUGCUGAACAGAAAGCAAACAGAAUUGAUUUUACUUGGUGAGAUUGUUGUGCUUACUCUAUCAUUUAUAUGGUUGAUGUGGGUGCGAUGGUUCUUACCUUGAAUGUCAGCUUCUAUUUCUGCAAAUCAUUACCCUUGCACAUGAAUGGUAACUUGCCUGCGGGUAUUGGAAUGCAUGUGUUUGCAAUGAUUUGUGAUUUGACGCAUGUGUUUGGUGAAAUUUGUAUAUGCUCUUUUGUCGAAGGGGAAAGCUUACUUUUUUGAGCAUUGCAAGCCCUUACACAUCAGUGCUGGCAAAAUGUUUCUGCUUGACCCGUCUUGAAACACGGACCAAGGAGUCUAACAGAUGUGCAAGUUCGUGGGUGGCAAACCUUUUUGCGCAAUGAAAGUAUUGGCUGGGAUACUUGCACCAGCAGCCGACCAAUUAGCAGACAGAGGUUUGAGUUUGAGCAUAUCUAUUAGGACCCGAAAGAUGGUGAACUAUGCCUGAACAGAAUGAAUUCAGAGGAAACUCUGAUGGAGGUUCGUAUCGAUACUGACGUGCAAAUCGUUCGUCAUACUUGGGUAUAGGGGCGAAAGACUAAUCGAACCAUNUAGUAGCUGGUUCCCUCCGAAGUUUCCCUCAGGAUAGCUGGAGUUGCACAGUUUUAUCAGGUAAAGCGAAUGAUUAGAGGAAUUGGGGACACGCUGUCCUUGACCUAUUCUCAAACUUUAAAUGGGUAAGAUGCAAUGGUUGCUUUAUUGAACUUUUGGAAUAAAUGGCAAUAUCAGGUGGGCCAUUUUUGGUAAGCAGAACUGGCGAUGAGGGAUGAACCUAACGUUGGGUUAAGGUGCUUAAUUGCUUGCUCAUUAGAUACCAGAAAGGGUGUUGGUUCAUUUUAACAGCAGGACGGUGGUCAUGGAAGUCGAAAUCCGCUAAGGAGUGUGUAACAACUCACCUGCCGAAUGGACUAGCCCCGAAAAUGGAUGGCGCUCAAGCGGGUGACCGAUACC
rnacentral:rRNA from 1 species